GACGAACGCUGGCGGCGUGCUUAACACAUGCAAGUCGAACGGAGUGGCGAACGGGUGAGUAACGCGUAGGCAACUUGCCCUUCGGAGGGGAACAACAGGUGGAAACGUAUGCUAUUCCCCCAUACGGAAGGAGGGGAUUGCGUCGGAUUGGCUAGUUGGAGGGGUAACGGCCCACCAAGGCGACGAUCCGUAAAUGGUCUGAGAGGAUGAUCAGUCACACUGGAACUGAGAAACGGUCCAGAGUACUACGGGAGGCAGCAGUGGGGAAUAUUGGACAAUGGGCGAAAGCCUGAUCCAGCCAUGCCGCGUGGGGGAUGAAGGCUUUCGGGUUGUAAACCUCGUUCGCUAUCGAACGGGUAGGUGGAGAAGAAGCGCCGGCUAACUACGUGCCAGCAGCCGCGGUAAUAC
rnacentral:rRNA from 1 species